GAUGAACGCUAGCGGCAGGCUUAAUACAUGCAAGUCGAGGGGUAACAUGGGGUAGCAAUACUCUGAUGACGACCGGCAAACGGGUGCGGAACACGUACGCAACUUUCCCAAAACUGGUGAAUAGCCCUCCGAAAGGAGGAUUAAUACACCGUAACAUAACGAGGUGGCAUCAUCUUGUUAUUAUAGCUCCGGCGGUUUUGGAUGGGCGUGCGCCCUGAUUAGGUAGUUGGCGGGGUAACGGCCCACCAAGCCUACGAUCAGUAACUGGUGUGAGAGCACGACCAGUCACACGGGCACUGAGACACGGGCCCGACUCCUACGGGAGGCAGCAGUGGGGAAUCUUGCGCAAUGGGCGAAAGCCUGACGCAGCCAUGCCGCGUGAAUGAUGAAGGCCUUAGGGUUGUAAAGUUCUUUUACCCGUGACGAUGAUGACGGUAA
rnacentral:rRNA from 1 species